AGAGUUUGAUCCUGGCUCAGAUUGAACGCUGGCGGCGUGCUUUACACAUGCAAGUCGAACGGCAGCAAGUUUACUUUCGGUAGAUGUUGGCGAGUGGCGGACGGGUGAGUAAUGCAUCGGGACGAUGUCUAUUUGUAGGGGGAGUAACUCAUCGAAAGAUGAGCUAAUACCGCAUAAUGUCUGAGGACGAAAGACUGGGGACCGAGAGAUGGCCUGGCGCAGAUAGGUUGCCCGAUGUUCGAUUAGCUAGUUGGUGAAGUAAAGGUUUAACCUAAGGCGAUGAUCGAUAGCUGUUCUGAGAGGAAGAUCAGCCACACUGGGACUGAGACACGGCCCAGACUCCUACGGGAGGCGAC
rnacentral:rRNA from 1 species